rnacentral:tRNA from 1 species
GCGUCGGUCGUAUAACAAUUAGCAUAGCUGCCUUCCAAGCAGUUGACCCGGGUUCGACUCCCGGCCGACGCA